AUUAUAUCCUUUUGCUGUUUUCCACUGCUAUGAACUGUCACCCUUCUUACUUGCCACCCUGCCUUGGAGCCAGCUGAUCAUGGGCUGAAACCUCCACAAACUAGCUUUCCCCAUGUAUGGCUCAACUGCCUCCAUGAAGAUAAGGAAUAGAGGAAGAGAUCCCCAAAUGAAGAUCACAUUUCUGUUAACAGAAGACUUGGAUUCCAGUCUAUCAAAAAGAAAUUGCACUUUUUGCACAUCUGAUCCUAGCUGAUCAUCAAACACAGUCUGCAUCUUGCCCUGCUUCCCUCUCACCCUCCCUGCUUUCCAGCCAGAAGCAUUCGCUCCCAGGCCCAGCCUGUGGCCCACCUAUCACUGCAACCCAGACAGUGCAGGAGUAAAUGUCUAUUUUUCAUUCACAUCCACAUAGGGAAAUUUCAGGAUGCAUUCUCAGAGGCAUCCUGGUUACUAACUUCUUGCCUAGGCCCUUGGGCCAGGUGAUUGAAGACGACACCAUGAUGACUUCAUAGUGGCCUGGGAAUCACCUAUCACAAAAGAAGCAGGAGAAGGAUAAACAGGGCCAGCCAGCAAAGAUGAAUCUUUCAGAGCUCAUUUCUCAGACUUUGUAAUUGGAAGGUUAUUUUGCUGUACCUCACAAUUUUGAAGUGAGGUUCAAGAAAUAGAUGGCAGACUUCUAGAAAUAGAAAUUAGAAAUAGAUUACAUAAUAGAUGGCAGACUUCACAAGGAAGUGUGGGAUUCUAAAUAGACAGAUGUUCCCUGAUUUACACUGGAGCUAUGUCCAGAAGAAGUCAUUGUAAGUUGAAAAUAUUUUAAGUCAAAAAUGCAUUUGACACAGUUAACCUACCUGGUGCCAUAGCUGAGCAACCGUACUCUGUACAGCACCAGCUGUUCAACCAUGCUCACAGGCUGACUGAAAUGUGUGGCUCACUACCACUACCCAGCAUCACGAAAGCAUCACACUACGUAUUUCUAACACUGGAAAAACUCAAACUACAAAUUUUGAAGUACAGUGUCUACUGAAUGUGGACCGCUUUUGUACCAUCAUAAAGUCAAAGAGCUCUUAGGCCAAAACAUUGUAAAUUGAAGACCUGUAUUAAGUUCAUCUGGUGCUUCUAGUCCUUAUACUCUGGCAAUGCUUCUGGAAGAAUCAAUCUUCCUGGUUUGCUCAGGACAGAGAGAUUUUCUGGGAGGCAGAAACGCCCACCCUAAGACCAGGGGGAUGCCAGUAACCCUGAAUAAGCUGAUCGCCCUCCCUGGAAGUAGCACUUACAAGCACCUGUUAUGUGCUGACAUGGUUCUCCAGUGUUUGUUUGUUGAAGUCCUAAUCCAGCACCUCAGAAUGUGAACUGAUUUGGAGACAGAACCUCUAGAAGGAUUUAGUUAAAAUCGGGCUAAUGGGGGACCCUAAUACACUCUGACAGAUAGGUUGGUAAGAAAAGGAAGUUUGGUGACAAAAAGAGACAGCAGGGAUGAAUACACAGAGAAAGGACCGCACGAGGUCACAGGAAGAAGACACCUGCAAGCUAAGGGGAGGCCUCAGAAAUAACCAUCC